rnacentral:lncRNA from 1 species
AAAAUAGAACUGAAAAAUAUUUCAUAUUCUGACUGAAUAGUUUACUCUUUUCAUGAAGUAAGGUUUUCUUUGUUAUAGUUUCAUUGCAAUACAUGAAUAUGCAAACAAUUUGAAUUAUAUACCUUUGUGGUGUACAUAAUAUUAUGCUUAUCUUUGCAAAUUUAUAAUUUAAACACUUUUUGUGUUAAAGUUUUAGUUUUCUUUUUCGCUGCUUGCUAUGUACAAUUAUUCAGUCCACUAUAUAAGAGUCAAGUCAAUAAAUUAUUUCAUCCACUAGAAUAUUCCCGCAAUUCUUAGACAAAACAUUUUUCAAUCUGUUCUUCAAAGAUCUUCCUCCGUACAUCUUUAUUGGAUGGAGCGAUUCAAAUGAGAAGACAAAGCAGGUUUAUUUGGACAACAACAUACUAAUAUUUUUUUCAUUCGUUCCUUCUUUCAAUUGAUAAUUACAUUGUUGCAUUUACAUGAUCAAGUUCUUGAGCAUCUAUGAUUGUGAUGGUAUGACUCCUUUUUGUUUAUAGUCAUUAUGUUGAAAUUUCCUUUUUCUAUUUAAUGUAGGAAAAAAACGUUCCAUUUCAAAUUAAUAAAAAAAGUUGCACUAUUGAGAAAAAUAUCAUCUUCCAAGUUUUCUGUUCAGUAUUGAUCUGUUGAAUGAUGACCAUGAAAACCGAGAUGUCUGACCUACAAAUACACAAAACUCAAAAAUUAUCAGUGAAGAGAAAUACAGC